CAAGUGACAACAACUUUGGGUUAGUGGUUCUCAAACAGUCGCUGAAUAUAAAAUGCGCUACAUGACUAUUGAUUCAAAUCAUUUUUGAUUUAAACACCAAAGCGACAACAUGUCUGUACCAGCAAAUAAAUUUCAAGUUCCACAGACUGAGAAUUGGGACUUAGAAAUAAGCCAGUCCGAGAUGAAAAAAAAUACCAGCAUCGGGGUGGUAACUCCAAAAACGAAAACCGAAGACUGGGAAGCUGAAAUUGCGGUGGCGAAACGUCCUCCAUUCUUUCUCAGCGUGGGCAAAAUAACACAGCGACGUAUAAACCGAAUGCACCGAUGCUGGACCUGUCACUGCGUGCCUGUCAAUUGUCGAUGUGCAAAAUAUUGAAUAAACUUGUUGAAACGUUAA